rnacentral:misc_RNA from 1 species
CCAAUAGCGUAUAUUAAAGUUGUUGCAGUUAAAAAGCUCGUAGUUGAAUUUCGGGAUCAAUUUGUCGGUCGUGCCUCGGUACGUACUGGCAUUAUUGGUUUCUACCUUCUGAAGAACCUUGAUGUCAUUAAUUUGGUGUCUUGGGGAAUCAGGACUGUUACUUUGAAAAAAUUAGAGUGUUUAAAGCAGGCAUACGCUUGAAUACAUUAGCAUGGAAUAAUAAAAUAGGACGUUUGAUUCUAUUUUGUUGGUUUCUAGGAUCGACGUAAUGAUUAAUAGGGAUAGUUGGGGGCAUUAGUAUUCAAUUGUCAGAGGUGAAAUUCUUGGAUUUAUUGAAGACUAACUACUGCGAAAGCAUUUGCCAAGGAUGUUUUCAUUAAUCAAGAACGAAAGUUAGGGGAUCGAAGACGAUCAGAUACCGUCGUAGUCUUAACCAUAAACUAUGCCGACUAGGGAUCGGAUGAUGUUAUUUUUAAUGACUCAUUCGGCGCCUUACG